GCAAAAAGUUGUUAGGCUUAAAACCAAUCUUUUAGCUCACUAUUUCAGUAAAUCGAUCCCUGUUUUUAUGCGUUUAUCGCCAAUUGGUAAUUGUGGUUUAUUGAUGGAACUUAAAGCCAGUUGUUGAGUACCUUUAUAGGCUGCCUGGAAUAAUAAAAGCGCUGCUACAACAUCACUGGCAAAUUUGCUGCUAGUUCCGUUUGAACUACUCAAACUUAAACCGUCAAUAUCUUUAUAGGAAAACUGCAAAUAAGUGAUCUUAUCACUACCGUCGGUAUAGGUUAAAUAGUUGCCAGUUCCACUCUUACCAGAAUCUCUUUGAACUGCUUGUGCAUUAUUACCAAAGAAAUCUUUGUAUUGAUCUAAAACAUCCAAUAAGAGUUUUUGCUUCGCUUUAAAGUCCAAAGUAGGAUUGCCAACCGCAUCUGUUUGGAAGUAUGCAGCAAUUGUUUUUUGGGUACCACUGUUGCCACUUGUAUUCGGUUUUAAGGCUAUUAGUUGGUUGGCAAUUCGGUCUAAUAAUAAUUGAUUUUUAGUUUCGCCAAUGAUCUUUUUCAGGUCAGCUUGAGAACCAUACUGUUGCAAGGAAGUUUUGGUUAUUUGAUCCAAAAUGGCUUGCUGGGUAGCAGCACCUAACAUCGAACCACUACUGGUACUCAAACCAGUAAAGCCAUAACUGUUAGUUUGCUGAUUGUUCAUCUGCGUAUUUUGAACCAUCACAGCUGUAUUAGCACUUUGAGUGGUUUUCGCUUCUGGUUUAGUGGUGGUUUUAUAGAAGAAACUGUUGGGGUCUAUAAUUUGCGUAGCACUCUUAGCCGCAUUCGUUUCGUUUUCGUAAUUAAAGUAAGAACCGAAUAUACCUUGCGGGUUAGAGAAGUUCUGCGUUUCAGUAUUCUUGUAAGCAAUAAAAGCAAUUUCACCAAACUUGAGGUUUGCCUUUAAUAAAUCCUUGAAGUUCUUUAGGUUUUUGUCUACCAACCACUCUAAGGUAUAGAUAAAGCGGUAGUGUUCAAUCACUGCCU
rnacentral:sRNA from 1 species